rnacentral:rRNA from 1 species
CCCUUAGAUGUUCUGGGCUGCACGCGCGCUACACUGAAGCGUUCAACGAGUAUUCACCUUGCCCGGGAGGGUUGGGUAAUCUUUUUAAAACGCUUCGUGAUGGGGAUAGAUUAUUGCAAUUAUUAAUCUUCAACGAGGAAUUCCUAGUAAGCGCGAGUCAUCAGCUCGUGCUGAUUACGUCCCUGCCCUUUGUACACACCGCCCGUCGCUCCCACCGAUUGAGUGAUCCGGUGAAUAAUUCGGACUGCAGCAGUGCUUGGUCCUCCGGGCUUUGCAGCGGAAAGUUUAGUGAACCUUAUCACUUAGAGGAAGGAGAAGUCGUAACA